rnacentral:rRNA from 15 species
AUGCGAUCAUACCAGCACUAAAGCGCCGGAUCCCAUCAGAACUCCGAAGUUAAGCGUGCUUGGGCGAGAGUAGUACUAGGAUUGAUCCGGUGUUUUAGUGCUGGUAU